rnacentral:rRNA from 1 species
AGAGUUUGAUCAUGGCUCAGGAUGAACGCUGGCGGCGUGCUUAACACAUGCAAGUCGAACGGAAAGGCCCCUUCGGGGGUACUCGAGUGGCGAACGGGUGAGUAACACGUGGGUGAUCUGCCCUGCACUUUGGGAUAAGCCUGGGAAACUGGGUCUAAUACCGAAUAGGACUCCGGACUGCAUGGUCUGGGGUGGAAAGCUUUUGCGGUGUGGGAUGGGCCCGCGGCCUAUCAGCUUGUUGGUGGGGUGAUGGCCUACCAAGGCGACGACGGGUAGCCGGCCUGAGAGGGUGUCCGGCCACACUGGGACUGAGAUACGGCCCAGACUCCUACGGGAGGCAGCAGUGGGGAAUAUUGCACAAUGGGCGCAAGCCUGAUGCAGCGACGCCGCGUGAGGGAUGACGGCCUUCGGGUUGUAAACCUCUUUCGCCAGGGACGAAGCGCAAGUGACGGUACCUGGAGAAGAAGCACCGGCCAACUACGUGCCAGCAGCCGCGGUAAUACGUAGGGUGCGAGCGUUGUCCGGAAUUACUGGGCGUAAAGAGCUCGUAGGUGGUUUGUCGCGUUGUUCGUGAAAACUCACAGCUUAACUGUGGGCGUGCGGGCGAUACGGGCAGACUGGAGUACUGCAGGGGAGACUGGAAUUCCUGGUGUAGCGGUGGAAUGCGCAGAUAUCAGGAGGAACACCGGUGGCGAAGGCGGGUCUCUGGGCAGUAACUGACGCUGAGGAGCGAAAGCGUGGGGAGCGAACAGGAUUAGAUACCCUGGUAGUCCACGCCGUAAACGGUGGGUACUAGGUGUGGGUUUCCUUCCUUGGGAUCCGUGCCGUAGCUAACGCAUUAAGUACCCCGCCUGGGGAGUACGGCCGCAAGGCUAAAACUCAAAGGAAUUGACGGGGGCCC